rnacentral:rRNA from 1 species
GGCCACAUUGGGACUGAGACACUGCCCAAACUCCUACGGGAGGCUGCAGUAGGGAAUUUUCCGCAAUGCACGAAAGUGUGACGGAGCGACGCCGCGUGUGUGAUGAAGGCUUUCGGGUCGUAAAGCACUGUUGUAAGGGAAGAAUAACUGAAUUCAGAGAAAGUUUUCAGCUUGACGGUACCUUACCAGAAAGGGAUGGCUAAAUACGUGCCAGCAGCCGCGGUAAUACGUAUGUCCCGAGCGUUAUCCGGAUUUAUUGGGCGUAAAGCGAGCGCAGACGGUUUAUUAAGUCUGAUGUGAAAUCCCGAGGCCCAACUUCGGAACUGCAUUGGAAACUGAUUUAUUUGAGUGCGAUAGAGGCAAGUGGAACUCCAUGUGUAGCGGUGAAAUGCGUAGAUAUGUGGAAGAACACCAGUGGCGAAAGCGGCUUGCUAGAUCGUAACUGACGUUGAGGCUCGAAAGUAUGGGUAGCAAACGGGAUUAGAUACCCCGGUAGUCCAUACCGUAAACGAUGGGUGCUAGUUGUUAAGAGGUUUCCGCCUCCUAGUGACGUAGCAAACGCAUUAAGCACCCCGCCUGAGGAGUACGGCCGCAAGGCUAAAACUUAAAGGAAUUGACGGGGACCCGCACAAGCGGUGGAGCAUGUGGUUUAAUUCGAAGAUACGCGAAAAACCUUACCAGGUCUUGACAUACCAAUGAUCGCUUUUGUAAUGAAAGCUUUUCUUCGGAACAUUGGAUACAGGUGGUGCAUGGUCGUCGUCAGUUCGUGUCGUGAGAUGUUGGGUUAAGUCCCGCAACGAGCGUAACCCUUGUUAUUAGUUGCCAGCAUUUAGUUGGGCACUCUAAUGAGACUGCCGGUGAUAAACCGGAGGAAGGUGGGGACGACGUCAGAUCAUCAUGCCCCUUAUGACCUGGGCAACACACGUGCUACAAUGGGAAGUACAACGAGUCGCAAACCGGCGACGGUAAGCUAAUCUCUUAAAACUUCUCUCAGUUCGGACUGGAGUCUGCAACUCGACUCCACGAAGGCGGAAUCGCUAGUAAUCGCGAAUCAGCAUGUCGCGGUGAAUACGUUCCCGGGUCUUGUACACACCGCCCGUCAAAUCAUGGGAGUCGGAAGUACCCAAAGUCGCUUGGCUAACUUUUAGAGGCCGGUGCCUAAGGUAAAAUCGAUGACUGGGAU